ensembl:snRNA U6 U6 spliceosomal RNA
GUGCUUACUUCUGCAGCACAUAUACUAAAAUUAGAAUGAUACAGAGAUUAGCAUGGCCCCCUGCACAAGGAAGACAUGCAAAUUCCUAAAGUGUUCCAUAUUUUA